UACAUUAUAGUGUAUGUGCACGUAAAUUUUUGGAGUUUGAAGGGAAAGGUCAGUCUUUUUUUUGUAG
rnacentral:tRNA from 1 species